AUUUGUUUAACAUGCUAGCACAUGCCAUUUAUGCAUUGUGUAGGUAGAACAUUGGCUAUAACAAUGUAAUGGUGAAAUUGCAUUAUGCCUGUACAAACAUGUGGCAACAACAGAUCAUGCCACAAGGAAACCCAUCUUAAUAAAAAUCCGAAGAUGCUAACAAGUAACUAUCAUAUUUCUCCAGGUAUAAUGUGUACAGAACAGUAAAAUGGUACCAUUUAGAGAUGCUUGCAUUACACCUGCUUACCACAAUUGUUCUGUAGUUAAAGUACAGUAGGCCAGUACCUAUUAACCUCUGACACAGCACGAGUUUUGCGUGAUGCUCUGCUAGCCAGGUUCAUAAUCAUUAUGAGAAACAGAAACAUACCGUGCCAGAUGUUAGCAAUUACUGCAGUAGGUUCUGAAUCCAUUGUCCCUGAUGGUCUGGUAAUACUGCUGAUAAGCCAUUUCAUUAUAGCAGAUAAUUGCUGUACCAGAAAUCUAAAAGGCUCCUGUACGCUCUUUGCUUGUUGCAGUUAAAUAAUGGAAUAGGCCUGCCAUUAUUCCUUGCCACAAACCAAAGAAACUGGUAUUCCUCCCUCUCAAAAAAAACCCAAAACAUGUUAAUGGUGGGUCAGUGCAUAGAGUUUUAAGAAUAACAGUGCAGCUAGUGGAGUUGUGUAUGCACCAAAGUAGUCAGUGC